rnacentral:lncRNA from 1 species
CUGAAAAUCUCGAAUCGGUGACGGACUUCUGAUCAUGGUCGCGGCCGUGAUAAGAUAUGAGAACGGAGAUGGCGUUGAGCUCUCCCCUUAUUUCUUUUUUGGCUUGCUGUUUUUGUAAAUCGCAAGUCAAUGGUGUAGACGUUGACGUCGGAGAAGAUGAGUGAACCAGGGUGUGACGCGGAGACGACGAAAAAUGAUGGGUUUCAUAGUGAGGUGUCUCCUAGCCCCUACUCCCUCUCUUUCUUUCUAUUUUUUUUUUAUAUAUAAAAAAAAAAUCGAGCUUGGCUGCCAUGAUUCCACGUUUUCGGUGGUGCAGAUCUUCUUCUUUCUUCUUCUGUUGCUGUUCUCUUGACUUUUCCUUCUGUCUGAAGUAUCUCGGUUUUAUUACAGAAAAUUAUCUCAUGUUGCCAUCGAUAUUUGUGUAUGUUGAGGAGCUCAGAUUGUGUUGGUCGAUGGCUGCCUGGCUGGAACUGGAACAGAGUAUAAAAUAACGUCUUUUUUUUUUUAUGUUUUGCAGAAUUCCGUUUUCUGGCUACCAGAGAAGGACACCAUUGGAGCAGAUGUUGAAGACCGAUUGGAAGCAAACGAAUUAACAUUCAAAAUCUGACCAAUUGACUAGCCGAUAAGUUGAUAUCCUUGCGGUGGAUUGCAAACACGAAGCUAGCUUAAAGCUGAAAUAGAGGGUCGAAGAAGCGCUGGGAGCUCGAAGCUCGGAGCUCAUCUAUGAACAGCUUUGGUGAAGCGCAAACAAGUGAGAGCUCAGAACACGGAGUUUGGUGAAGCAUAAAUGGUGGAACCUAGUUGACGAGCUACCGCGAGGUCGGAAAAAUCUCGGUCGUGAGAAGCUUGAGGGUGCACACGAUCUUUGUUUAUUCUUGUUGAAGGUUGUUGUUUUGAUUGCUCCACAAGUUAGGUCUCCCUUGUAACAAAGUAUGAGAAAGCUGGG